CACCCUUUCUUGCUCUCAUUCGUCCCCCUCGUCUCCUUCUCCUAUCCCAAACCUAGCCGUCGCAUCGCCCCGUCCCGCUCCUCCCGUGGUCGCUCGCCGCCGCCCGCACUGGCGCCCCGACCUUUCCUCUCUUCAUCGCGCCGCCACCUUCCCUUCUCCUCCGGCCUCGCCUUUUCCUCCCUUCUCCUCCGGUGCCUCCUCCCAAGGGAAGUGAAGGGAAGGAUCGAGCGACAAGGUGAGGCCUAAAUCCACAUCGGCAUCAGCGCUUCGUCGUCGACUUCAUCCCCGACCGUCCUCGAGAGGUAGGCCAUGGAGGUCCGGUCCGGCCCGGCAGCAGCCAUGGAUGGAGACGCCCGGAACCCUAGCCCUCCAAGGACGUGCGCCGGCUGCAGGCCAUCUCCGGCGAGGGCAUCUCCGGCGAGCUCAUCCACGGGUCUCCGACUAUGCUGCUCCGAUCUGGAAGAGGGGGUGGAGCUGCUGCUGCUGCAGGUGGACGAGACACGAGCUCUCAUGGCUGCUCCCUCCUCCUACCCCCUGACGUGGUUGCUCUGAUGAGGACAAGCUGCUUCUGCAGGUGGACGGGCCCUCAUGGUCGCCGCACUCUCUCAUCGGGAGUAGGCAGGAGAAGUGUCGGCCGCUGAAGCAGACGAGCCGAGCCAUUAGUGGCUGCAUCUUUGACGUCCUUUCCUAGCGUGCUCGCCAGCGUACGCUGUCCACCGGCAGUAGCAAGGUACAUCUCUGUCGUUUCCUCCACCGGGUCAGUGCAUGCCCGUGGCGAAGCUUAUAUUGCAUCAUGGUGCAGGAUCUGGUUAUAUGGUGCAGGAUCCAGGCCACUCAAACUCAAAGCAUACUAACAACCAGGCCUGGAGAUAUAGUUUGCACAAUGUUUUGUUCUGUCAUAUGCCAUUUUGAUAUGGCUAAAAUGUUUGCUUUUGAUAUGUGUCAGAAUUAUGUUGCCCCACCAGCCUGAAAAUGUGAUAAAUAAAAGCCUACAGUGCUCAUUUAUUUGUAUUUACAGGCUUUGUUGUGCAUAUGAUUUACUCUUUGUUCCAUAAGAUCAUAUUUUGGUAGUGGUGCAAGCUGAACCUUGAUGUUGUUGCUGCUGUAUUCUGUAAUGGAACUGUUAGAUAAGGUAGUUAACUAUCUCUAGCCAUAGGUCUUAUAGUGGUGCAGAUUCAUUUUCUCUGCUAGGAGUUUACUUAAUUACAGAACAUUCCUGAAUAGUUACACUAAGCUAGCCAUGUUCCCAGUAAGCUCAGAAAUUUCCUGGCAUACACUUGACACCAGUUAUCUCUCAUAUUUCCCUGAUUUCCAUAGCUGUGUUGUAUCCCUUACAUGUUGUUUUAGUCGGUCUUUGCGAUUGGUUCAGUUAGAGGCUUAUUUAGUUGUGAUUUAGUCAUUGGCUAUGGUCAUUGGUAUGAUAGAAGCAUUACACAGUGCAUCAAUGAUAAAGCUACUGUUCUCUCAAACUGGUAAUAUUGUUCUAUUUUCUUGGAUGAUGUAAAGUUAACUGAUGGCCAUGCCAGCAUCAACUUUGUUUAUAGUAGGUUCAUAUGCAUGUAUAUUGAUGUAUUUCCUUUCUAACGAUUUUUUAGUGAUGCUUACUGCAUUAUUACAUAGCUGAAUGUCACUUUCUGACUUCAUUUAUUCAAGGUGGAUGCUUCUUUUGUAUUGUUAUUAUCAUGAUCCGUGUCUGAAUAAAUGCAUGUGUUGUAACUGAAUGUUCUUUUGCAUUUAUAAAACAAUAUGUUGUUCUAUUUUCCAUUAGAUGCUGUAGAAUUGCCUGAUUUGCUGCCACCAAUGAAAGGACAUUGUGACCUCUAACACAGGUGGCUUGAUGAUGCACAUCUAUGAAUAUUAUGAUGAUAAGAAACAAUCGUCCAUAUGCUUAUAAAACAAUAUAUGUUGUUCUUUUUUUAUGGUGUUCCCUGUAAGUCUAUGCUAAUUAGAACAUGUUUCUCUGUUGAUUUUCAUGUACCACCAAUAAUAUCCACAUUAUGGAAGGAGCAAGGAUCAUCACAUUAUGGUGCCAUUGUUAAAGCCUGUUGCUUCCUUGGACCUGCAUUGUUGCAGGCUUCUCCUGCAUUAUAUUGUUUAUUUGAUUUUCCGCUCUUUGGUAAGUCUCUGAGCAUGGAUGCUGUAUAUGUGACACUGGAACUUCUGUUCUAAUCGGUAUCAGGCAAUAUUUUGUCAAUGAAGAUGACACCGUACCACAAAAGGUUGUUGUUCGAAAGAAUAGCCGCCGGGGGGUUCACUUCGGUCGUGCUGGACCCCGUCAGAGGGUCAAUUUUGAGUCAGAUGAAGUGAAAGCAUGCAUUAUAAGUUGUGGAGGCCUUUGCCUUGGGCUCAACACUGUUAUCAGGGAGCUGGUGUAUGGCUUGGCGCACAUGUACAAUGUCAACAACAUCUAUGGAAUACUGGUUAAUUAAUCCUACAUUUCAGUAUCAACCAGCAUCUGUUCCUUCUUGAGCUCUCAACCCUGGGGUACACCUCCCGGUCAAGGUGCACCUCUUGUCUCACCGAUGAUGCAGCCUGGGCAUCACUCGCUCUCAGCUAGCUAGACUACCUAUAAGAAUCGUCAGCGCCUUUACCUAUCAGAGCAGGUACUAAUCUUGGUGUGAGCUCAAGGCAAUAGGCAAUUCUGAAGGUAGGCAAUCGUCAUUAGCCAGGUAAUGCCAGGGCUGGCUGCCAUGUGUACCAUGGUGAGAAGUAGCACCAGUAGUGCCAUAUUGGCUCCCUCUACCGAGCAGCGUGGAGGAGGGUUGGGAGUGAUCGCACUUCAACUUCUGUACGCUGCAUUUUCUUUUGGAUGUGUCAUGUCAUCAUUUCUACUGGUCUAUGUUAUGCCAAAGACUUAAGUUCUCUAUGCAGAGUUGCAAAUUGUCUGUAAGCUACUACGUGUUGUCGUAUCUUCUAUGCAUAAGAUAUUUUGUGCUAAACCUGUCGUGAAACAUGCUUUCAAUGUUCAUGCAUUGUUAAGAGGCU